CUGCGAAUGGCUCAUUAUAUAAGUUAUCGUUUAUUUGAUAGUACCUUACUACUUGGAUAACCGUGGUAAUUCUAGAGCUAAUACAUGCUAAAAAUCCCGACUUCGGAAGGGAUGUAUUUAUUAGAUUAAAAACCAAUGCCCUUCGGGGCUCCUUGGUGAUUCAUGAUAACUCCUCGAAUCGCAUGGCCUUGUGCCGGCGAUGGUUCAUUCAAAUUUCUUCCCUAUCAACUUUCGAUGUUUGGGUAUUGGCCAAACAUGGUUGCAACGGGUAACGGAGGGUUAGGGCUCGACCCCGGAGAAGGAGCCUGAGAAACGGCUACUACAUCCAAGGAAGGCAGCAGGCGCGCAAAUUACCCAAUCCCGACACGGGGAGGUAGUGACAAUAAAUACUGAUACAGGGCUCUUUCGGGUCUUGUAAUUGGAAUGAGUACAAUUUAAAUCCCUUAACGAGGAACAAUUGGAGGGCAAGUCUGGUGCCAGCAGCCGCGGUAAUUCCAGCUCCAAUAGCGUAUAUUAAAGUUGUUGUGGUUAAAAAGCUCGUAGUUGAACCUUGGGCCUGGCUGGCCGGUCCGCCUCACCGCGUGUACUGGUCCGGCCGGGCCUUUCCCUCUGUGGAACCCCAUGCCCUUCACUGGGUGUGGCGGGGAAACAGGACUUUUACUUUGAAAAAAUUAGAGUGCUCCAGGCAGGCCUAUGCUCGAAUACAUUAGCAUGGAAUAAUAGAAUAGGACGUGUGGUUCUAUUUUGUUGGUUUCUAGGACCGCCGUAAUGAUUAAUAGGGACAAUCGGGGGCAUCAGUAUUCAAUUGUCAGAGGUGAAAUUCUUGGAUUUAUUGAAGACUAACUACUGCGAAAGCAUUUGCCAAGGAUGUUUUCAUUAAUCAGGAACGAAAGUUAGGGGAUCGAAGACGAUCAGAUACCGUCGUAGUCUUAACCAUAAACUAUGCCGACUAGGGAUCGGACGAUGUUAUUUUUUGACUCGUUCGGCACCUUACGAGAAAUCAAAGUGCUUGGGCUCC
rnacentral:rRNA from 1 species